AGAGUCACUCCUACGGGAGGCAGCAGUGGGGAAUAUUGGACAAUGGGGGCAACCCUGAUCCAGCAAUGCCGCGUGUGUGAAGAAGGCCUUCGGGUUGUAAAGCACUUUCGGACGGAACGAAAUCGCACGGGCGAACAUCCCGUGUGGAUGACGGUACCGGAAGAAGAAGCACCGGCUAACUACGUGCCAGCAGCCGCGGUAAUACAGAGGGGGCAAGCGUUGUUCGGAAUUACUGGGCGUAAAGGGCGCGUAGGCGGCCUUCUAAGUCGAACGUGAAAUCCCUCGGCUUAACCGGGGAACUGCGUCUGAUACUGGAUGGCUUGAGGUUGGGAGAGGGAUGCGGAAUUCCAGGUGUAGCGGUGAAAUGCGUAGAUAUCUGGAGGAACACCAGAGGCGAAGGCGGCGUCCUGGCCCACAACUGACGCUCAUACACGACAGCAUGGGGAGCGAACGGGAUUAGAAACCCCGGUAGUCCAUGCCAUAAACGAUGCAGACUAGGCGCUGGAGGUCUCAACCCCUUCGGUGCCGUAGCUAACGCGCUAAGUCUGCCGCCUGGGGAGUACGGCCGCAAGGUUGAAACUUAAAGGAAUUGACG
rnacentral:rRNA from 1 species